CCAUGACGGUACCGUAAGAAUAAGCACCGGCUAACUACGUGCCAGCAGCCGCGGUAAUACGUAGGGUGCAAGCGUUGUCCGGAAUUAUUGGGCGUAAAGAGCUCGUAGGCGGUCUGUUGCGUCGGCUGUGAAAACCCGGGGCUCAACUCCGGGCCUGCAGCCGAUACGGGCAGACUAGAGUUCGGCAGGGGAGACUGGAAUUCCUGGUGUAGCGGUGAAAUGCGCAGAUAUCAGGAGGAACACCGGUGGCGAAGGCGGGUCUCUGGGCCGAUACUGACGCUGAGGAGCGAAAGCGUGGGGAGCGAAC
rnacentral:rRNA from 1 species